AUGACGGACUACAGAUCAGGGCUGCUGUUUUCUAUCAUCUGCUUUACAGGUGUUUAUUGUCAGAGUCUGACAGAAUCUGAGCCAGUGGUAAAAAGACCAGGAGAGUCUCACAGAUUGACCUGUACAGCAUCUGGAUUCACAUUCAGCAGCUACUGGAUGGCCUGGAUCAGACAGGCACCUGGGAAGGGACUGGAAUGGCUUGCUGAGAUCAAUGAUGGUGGUGGUAGCACAUACUACUCUCAGUCAGUCCAAGGCAGGUUUACCAUCUCCAGAGACAACAGCAAAAAUCAGCUCUAUCUGCAGAUCAAUCAAUCAAUCAAUCAA